UCUACGGGAGACAGCAGUGAGGAAUAUUGGUCAAUGGGCGAGAGCCUGAACCAGCCAAGUCGCGUGAAGGAUGACGGCCCUACGGGUUGUAAACUUCUUUUGUCAGGGAGCAAUUGGGUCCACGCGUGGGCUUAGCGAGAGUACCUGAAGAAAAAGCAUCGGCUAACUCCGUGCCAGCAGCCGCGGUAAUACGGAGGGUGCAAGCGUUGUCCGGAAUCAUUGGGCGUAAAGAGUUCGUAGGCGGCAUGUAAAGUCAGGUGUUAAAGGCGCAGGCUCAACCUGUGUAUGGCACUUGAUACUUGCAAGCUGGAAUGCGGUAGAGGUAAAGGGAAUUCCUGGUGUAGCGGUGAAAUGCUUAGAUAUCAGGAGGAACAUCGGUGGCGUAAGCGCUUUACUGGGCCGUAAUUGACGCUGAGGAACGAAAGCCAGGGUAGCAAAUGGGAUUAGAUACCCCAGUAGUC
rnacentral:rRNA from 1 species